rnacentral:rRNA from 1 species
UGGGGGAUAUUGCACAAUGGGCGAAAGCCUGAUGCAGCGACGCCGCGUGGGGGAUGAAGGCCUUCGGGUUGUAAACUUCUUUUGCUCUGAACAAGGCGCACCAUGGGGUGUGUUGAGUGUAGGGGUUGAUUAGCGCCGGCUAACUACGUGCCAGCAGCCGCGGUAAUACGUAGGGCGCGAGCGUUGUCCGGAAUUAUUGGGCGUAAAGGGCUUGUAGGUGGCUGGUUGCGUCUGUCGUGAAAGCUCAUGGCUUAACUGUGGGUUUGCGGUGGGGACGGGCGGGAUUGAGUGGAAUAGGGGAGGCUGGAAGUCCUGGUGGAGCGGUGGAAUGCGCAGAUAUCAGGAGGAAUACCGGUGGCGAAGGCGGGUCUCUGGGCUGUUACUGACACUGAGGAGCGAAAGCAUGGGGAGCGAACAGG